rnacentral:misc_RNA from 1 species
UCCGGUUUGUCACCGGCAGUCUCAUUAGAGUGCCCAACUAAAUGUAGCAACUAAUGACAAGGGUUGCGCUCGUUGCGGGACUUAACCCAACAUCUCACGACACGAGCUGACGACAGCCAUGCAGCACCUGUGUUCCGAUUCCCUUUCGGGCACACCCACAUCUCUGCGGGCUCUCGGACAUGUCAAGGGUAGGUAAGGUUUUUCGCGUUGCAUCGAAUUAAUCCACAUAAUCCACCGCUUGUGCGGGUCCCCGUCAAUUCCUUUGAGUUUUAACCUUGCGGCCGUACUCCCCAGGCGGUCGACUUCACGCGUUAGCUGCGGCACGGAAAGGACUGAACCUCCCCACACCUAGUCGUCAUCGUUUACAGCGUGGACUAC